rnacentral:piRNA from 1 species
UUAGUAUAGAAUGAAGGAUAACCCCCUCCCC